CACGAUGUUGUCCUGCCCGCUCAGGUGCUGCAUUAUCUGGAUCUCCCUCUUGACGUCCUCCCGGUCGCUCUUGUUCACCAGCUUGCGCUUGGAGAUGGACUUGCAGGCGUACUUGACCCCGGUGGAAUUGCAGGUGCAGAGGUAGGUGACGCCGAACUGGCCCCUCCCUAGCUCCUUGCCCAUCGUGUAGCGGGCUUUCACGUCCUCGAAGGGCUUCCCGAGGAUGGUCUCCACUGCGGCGGCGGCGGCGGCGGCGGCAGCAGCGGGAUCAGAGCGGGGAGAAGGGAGGUGCUUAUUGGGGGAAGGGGAAGUGUAGACUGGUGCUGCCGGAGGAGGGGCAGAGUGCUGGUGACUCUGCUGAUGGUGGGUCUGCUGAUGGUAGCCCUGGUGGCCGCCCUGGUGGCCGUGGUGAUGGCCCUGGGGAUGGCUCUGGUGAUCACUCUGGUGGUGGUGGUGGUCUUGGACCGGGUGCUGCGGAUGGUGAGCGGCGGGGGCGGCGGCGAGGGCUUGUAGGGCUGCGGUGGCGGUGGCUGGUAUCCAUUGCCCGCUGGCUCCGAGGUCUUGCUGAAACAGAGGCCCAUCUCCUCCUCCUCCUCAGUGGCAGGCCGGGAUCAGGUUUCUUCCCUGCCAUCAUCAACAGACGAAGACAUCGAAAUCGCCGAUUCAGUCAGACCUUCCGCGCAGGGAAUCGAAACAACCGAGCGCCUCGUCGCCAUCAUCAUUGCAAN
rnacentral:lncRNA from 1 species